rnacentral:rRNA from 1 species
AUUGAACGCUGGCGGCAUGCUUUACACAUGCAAGUCGAACGGUAACAGGUUAAGCUGACGAGUGGCGAACGGGUGAGUAAUGCAUCGGAACGUGCCCGGUCGUGGGGGAUAACGCAGCGAAAGCUGCGCUAAUACCGCAUACGAUCUGAGGAUGAAAGCGGGGGACCGUAAGGCCUCGCGCGAUCGGAGCGGCCGAUGUCAGAUUAGGUAGUUGGUGGGGUAAAGGCUCACCAAGCCGACGAUCUGUAGCUGGUCUGAGAGGACGACCAGCCACACUGGGACUGAGACACGGCCCAGACUCCUACGGGAGGCAGCAGUGGGGAAUUUUGGACAAUGGGCGGAAGCCUGAUCCAGCAAUGCCGCGUGCAGGAAGAAGGCCUUCGGGUUGUAAACUGCUUUUGUACGGAGCGAAAAGGCCCUCUCUAAUACAGGGGGCUCAUGACGGUACCGUAAGAAUAAGCACCGGCUAACUACGUGCCAGCAGCCGCCGUAACAC